rnacentral:rRNA from 1 species
AUACGUAGGGAGCGAGCGUUGUCCGGAAUUACUGGGUGUAAAGGGAGCGUAGGCUGGAGUGCAAGUCAGAUGUGAAAUACAUGGGCUCAACCCAUGGGCUGCAUUUGAAACUGCAUUUCUUGAGUGAAGUAGAGGUAAGCGGAAUUCCUGGUGUAGCGGUGAAAUGCGUAGAUAUCAGGAGGAACACCGGUGGCGAAGGCGGCUUACUGGGCUUUUACUGACGCUGAGGCUCGAAAGCGUGGGGAGCAAACAGGAUUAGAUACCCUGGUAGUCCACGCUGUAAACGAUGAUUACUAGGUGUGGGGGGACUGACCCCUUCCGUGCCGCAGUUAACACAAUAAGUAAUCCACCUGGGGAGUACGGCCGCAAGGUUGAAACUCAAAUGAAUUGACGGGG